rnacentral:rRNA from 1 species
CAAUAGCGUAUAUUAAAGUUGUUGCAGUUAAAAAGCUCGUAAUUGGAUUUGUGGCGGUCCCUGUGGUCCAAUUUUGGUACUCUCGGGGACUGCCAUCCUUGGGUGGAUCCUGUGUGGCAUUAGGUUGUCGUGCAGGGGAUGCCCAUCGUUUACUGUGAAAAAAUUAGAGUGUUCAAAGCAGGCUUACGCCGUUGAAUAUAUUAGCAUGGAAUAAUGAGAUAGGACCUUGGUACUAUUUUGUUGGUUUGCGCACCGAGGUAAUGAUUAAUAGGGACAGUUGUGGGUAUUCGUAUUCCAUUGUCAGAGGUGAAAUUCUUGGAUUUCUGGAAGACGAACUAAUGCGAAAGCAUUUAUCAAGGAUGUUUUCAUUA